ACACAUGCGAGUUUUUGCUGGCUUGAGAACAAGCAAGGAAAAAGACAAAUCCCACCUACCCUAGCCUAAAAUACACAGUGAGUCUCAGAACCCCGCGGAAGCUGUGGCUCAUUUCUAAAGGUGCUGGCAAUAUCGAGGAAGACUUGUAUCCACAAAAUUCCAAAUGAUUAAAUAAUCAAGUCAUUAUUGUGAAUUUGGAUCUAAAUGACCUGGCAGAAACCAUGGAGAUGAUCUUGGAUUUAAAGAGGAAAAACUCAAAGCAAUGUAUUCUGAUCAAGAAAUGGCAGGAAAUGGCAGCUACCUGAUAUGGAACAAUCAACAACUGAAGGUUUAUUUUGAAUGAGAGGUGUUGUCCAACUGCGAGACGGAGUGAUUGAAGCUGAGAAUAAAUGGAAACACAAUCAAUAGUCACUCCAGUGAGGUAGGAAAGAAAGCCAUUCCGAAGUGGCAGAGAAGCUGCUUUUUCCUCCUGCAUGCUGCCUGCUAGUGUGGAUCUUGGCAUAACAGACACUACUUGGCAAAAGAUCCAUCCUUCCUUUUCCUAUACUUUGCUCAGCGGCCUGGAAGAUUGACCUCAAAAGCAAAAUCACCUGGAUUUCCUUGCCAUUUGGCUUUCAAAUGUGCUCAGCCAAUGACAGGCUGGAAAGAAAUUGACAGCUGGGAAAAGAGGAAGAUUUGUGUACAAGAUCCCUUCCACUCCCAUCUCAUUACCUGCCAUGGUCCUAGCAGUGGCUGUUCUUAUUAUGGCCACAACUACUCUUGGACAGGCCAACAUCCACAACUCCAUCCUUCAACUAGGCUUCAUUAACACUGUCCCUCACCCUUAUCUCUUUCUGGGUAGGGGUGAUAAAGGUUUCCUGACAUCAGAGUUCCUGAGUGCCUCAUAUAUUCUUGUUGGUCCCUGAACCUUGCCCCAACAUCAAUAAAAAGUUCCUUCAUUAAAUAAUUUUCAGUUGAA
rnacentral:lncRNA from 1 species